rnacentral:rRNA from 1 species
AGUCAACAUGCCCAGGGGACGUGGAUAACCUCGGGAAACUGAGGAUAAACCGCGAUAGGUCAUAAUUCCUGGAAUGGUUUAUGACUGAAAUCUAUAUGGCCCCUGGAUUGGACUGCGGCCGAUCAGGCUGUUGGUGAGGUAAUGGCCCACCAAACCUGUAACCGGUACGGGCUCUGAGAGGAGAAGCCCGGAGAUGGGCACUGAGACAAGGGCCCAGGCCCUAUGGGGCGCGGCAGGCGCGAAACCUCUGCAAUAGGCGAAAGCCUGACAGGGUUACUCUGAGUGGUUCCCGCUAAGGGGAUCUUUUGGCACCUCUAAAAAUGGUGCAGAAUAAGGGGUGGGCAAGCCUGGUGUCAGCCGCCGCGGUAAUACCAGCACCCCGAGUGGUCGGGACGAUUAUUGGGCCUAAAGCAUCCGUAGCCGGUCAUGCAAGUCUUCCGUUAAAUCCAGCCGCUCAACGGUUGGGCUGCGGAGGAUACUACGUGGCUAGGAGGCGGGAGAGGCAAGCGGUACUCAGUGGGUAGGGGUAAAAUCCUUUGAUCCAUUGAAGACCACCAGUGGCGAAGGCGGCUUGCCAGAACGCGCUCGACGGUGAGGGAUGAAAGCUGGGGGAGCAAACCGGAUUAGAUACCCGGGUAGUCCCAGCUGUAAACGAUGCAGACUCGGUGAUGGGAUGGC